rnacentral:sRNA from 1 species
GCCAGGUGUGGUGGCGCACACCUGUAAUCCCAGCAGCUUGGGAGGCUGAGACAGGAGGAUCACGAGUUCAAAGCCAGCCUCAGCAAAAAGCAAGGUGCUAAGCAACUCAGUGAGAUGCUGUCUCUA